GAUGAACGCUGGCGGCGUGCCUAAUACAUGCAAGUCGAGCGAACGGACGAGAAGCUUGCUCCUCUGAUGUUAGCGGCGGACGGGUGAGUAACACGUGGAUAACCUACCUAUAAGACUGGGAUAACUUCGGGAAACCGGAGCUAAUACCGGAUAAUAUUUUGAACCGCAUGGUUCAAAAGUGAAAGACGGUCUUGCUGUCACUUAUAGAUGGAUCCGCGCUGCAUUAGCUAGUUGGUAAGGUAACGGCUUACCAAGGCAACGAUGCAUAGCCGACCUGAGAGGGUGAUCGGCCACACUGGAACUGAGACACGGUCCAGACUCCUACGGGAGGCAGCAGUAGGGAAUCUUCCGCAAUGGGCGAAAGCCUGACGGAGCAACGCCGCGUGAGUGAUGAAGGUCUUCGGAUCGUAAAACUCUGUUAUUAGGGAAGAACAAAUGUGUAAGUAACUGUGCACAUCCUGACGGUACCUAAUCAGAAAGCCACGGCUAACUACGUG
rnacentral:rRNA from 1 species